AUUGAGCGCUGGCGGCAUGCUUUACACAUGCAAGUCGAACGGCAGCGCGGGCUUCGGCCUGGCGGCGAGUGGCGAACGGGUGAGUAAUACAUCGGAACGUGCCCAGUAGUGGGGGAUAGCUCGGCGAAAGCCGUAUUAAUACCGCAUACGACCUGAGGGUGAAAGCGGGGGGUCUUCGGACCUCGCGCUAGUGGGGGGGCCGAUGGCAGAUUAGCUAGUUGGUGGGGUAAAGGCCUACCAAGGCGACGAUCUGUAGCUGGUCUGAGAGGGCGACCAGCCACACUGGGUCUGAGACACCGCCCAGACUCCUACGGGAGGCCGCAGUGGGGAAUGUUGGACAGUGGGCGAAAGCCUGAUCCAGCAGUGCCGCGUGUGUGAUGAAGGCCUUCGGGUUGUAAAGCACUUUUGGCGGGAACGAAAAGCACUGUGCCAAUACCACGGUUCGAUGACGGUACCCGCAGAAUAAGCACCGGCUAACUACGUG
rnacentral:rRNA from 1 species